rnacentral:rRNA from 1 species
AUUGAACGCUGGCGGCAUGCCUUACACAUGCAAGUCGAACGGGGUGGGGAACGGGGGAGUGAUGUAUAGGACCGUGCCCAUUAGUGGGGGAUGAGUACGCGAAAGCGAAGCUAAUGCCGAAAACUAUUGCAGCGGCUGGUAUCGGGUUAGGUAGGUGGGGGGGUAAGGGCUCACCAAGGCGACGAUCCGUAGCUGGUUUGAGUGGAAGAGCAGCCACACUGGGACUGAGACACGGCCCAGACUCCUACGGGAGGCAGCAGUGGGGAAUUUUGGACAAUGGGGGAAAGCCUGAUCCAGCCAUCCCGCGUGGGCGAAGAAGGCCUUCGGGUUGUAAAGCACUUUUGGCAGGAAAGCGGUACCUGCAGAGUAAGCACCGGCUAACUACGUGCCAGCAGCCGCGGUAAUAC